rnacentral:rRNA from 1 species
UGAACAUUGAGCCUUGAUGUGUAGGAUAGGUGGGAGGCUUAGAAGUGUGGACGCCAGUCUGCAUGGAGCCGACCUUGAAAUACCACCCUUUAAUGUUUGAUGUUCUAACGUGGACCCGUGAUCCGGGUUGCGGACAGUGUCUGGUGGGUAGUUUGACUGGGGCGGUCUCCUCCUAAAGAGUAACGGAGGAGCACGAAGGUUGGCUAAUCCUGGUCGGACAUCAGGAGGUUA